UACGUAGGGUGCGAGCGUUGUCCGGAAUUAUUGGGCGUAAAGGGCUCGUAGGCGGUCUGUCGCGUCGGGAGUGAAAACUCGGGGCUUAACUCCGGGCCUGCAGUGGGUACGGGCUGACUAGAGUGCGGUAGGGGAGACUGGAAUUCCUGGUGUAGCGGUGAAAUGCGCAGAUAUCAGGAGGAACACCGGUGGCGAAGGCGGGUCUCUGGGCCGUAACUGACGCUGAGGAGCGAAAGCGUGGGGAGCGAACAGG
rnacentral:rRNA from 1 species